rnacentral:rRNA from 1 species
GCUCAGGAUGAACGCUGGCGGCGUGCCUAAUACAUGCAAGUCGAACGAAACUUCUUUAUCACCGAGUGCUUGCACUCACCGAUAAAGAGUUGAGUGGCGAACGGGUGAGUAACACGUGGGCAACCUGCCCAAAAGAGGGGGAUAACACUUGGAAACAGGUGCUAAUACCGCAUAACCAUAGUUGCCGCAUGGUAACUAUGUAAAAGGUGGCUAUGCUACCGCUUUUGGAUGGGCCCGCGGCGCAUUAGCUAGUUGGUGAGGUAAAGGCUUACCAAGGCAAUGAUGCGUAGCCGAACUGAGAGGUUGAUCGGCCACAUUGGGACUGAGACACGGCCCAAACUCCUACGGGAGGCAGCAGUA